CUGCAUGUUUUUGGCCCCGAGCCAUGGUUGGCCACUCCAUCAUUGUAGAGAGUGGACAAGUACAAACAUGCUAGAAUAACAUUGAAACAUUUGGAGUUAACAGGGCCACCAGUCUUUCAAGGUCAGGCUGAGUUGGUAGUAUAAUACUCCGACACUC